UGGGCAAUCUGCCCUUCACUCUGGGACAAGCCCUGGAAACGGGGUCUAAUACCGGAUAACACUCUGUCCCGCAUGGGACGGGGUUAAAAGCUCCGGCGGUGAAGGAUGAGCCCGCGGCCUAUCAGCUUGUUGGUGGGGUAAUGGCCUACCAAGGCGACGACGGGUAGCCGGCCUGAGAGGGCGACCGGCCACACUGGGACUGAGACACGGCCCAGACUCCUACGGGAGGCAGCAGUGGGGAAUAUUGCACAAUGGGCGAAAGCCUGAUGCAGCGACGCCGCGUGAGGGAUGACGGCCUUCGGGUUGUAAACCUCUUUCAGCAGGGAAGAAGCGAAAGUGACGGUACCUGCAGAAGAAGCGCCGGCUAACUACGUGCCAGCAGCCGCGGUAAUACGUAGGGCGCAAGCGUUGUCCGGAAUUAUUGGGCGUAAAGAGCUCGUAGGCGGCUUGUCACGUCGGAUGUGAAAGCCCGGGGCUUAACCCCGGGUCUGCAUUCGAUACGGGCUAGCUAGAGUGUGGUAGGGGAGAUCGGAAUUCCUGGUGUAGCGGUGAAAUGCGCAGAUAUCAGGAGGAACACCGGUGGCGAAGGCGGAUCUCUGGGCCAUUACUGACGCUGAGGAGCGAAAAGCGUGGGGAGCGAACAGGAUUAGAUACCCUGGUAGUCCACGCCGUAAACGUUGGGAACUAGGUGUUGGCGACAUUCCACGUCGUCGGUGCCGCAGCUAACGCAUUAAGUUCCCCGCCUGGGGAGUACGGCCGCAAGGCUAAACUCAAAGGAAU
rnacentral:rRNA from 1 species